rnacentral:tRNA from 1 species
AGUUUUAUAGUUAAAUUUAUAACAUUAAAUUGCAAGUUUAAAAUUAUAUUAGCGUAUGUAUUAAAAUUU